UACGUAGGGCGCAAGCGUUAUCCGGAAUUUAUUGGGCGUAAAGAGCUCGUAGGCGGUUUGUCGCGUCUGCCGUGAAAGUCCGGGGCUCAACUCCGGAUCUGCGGUGGGUACGGGCAGACUAGAGUGAUGUAGGGGAGACUGGAAUUCCUGGUGUAGCGGUGAAAUGCGCAGAUAUCAGGAGGAACACCGGUGGCGAAGGCGG
rnacentral:rRNA from 1 species